UACGUAGGGUGCUAGCGUUGUUCGGAAUCAUUGGGCGUAAAGCGCGUGUAGGCGGUUAGUUAAGUCAGAUGUGAAAUCCCUGGGCUCAACCGAGGAAGUGCAUUUGAAACUAAUUAGCUAGAAGAUGGUAGAGGAAGGUGGAAUUCCUGGUGUAGCGGUGAAAUGCGCAGAUAUCAGGAGGAACACCGAUGGCGAAGGCAGCUCGCUGGGACGGUACUGACGCUGAGGCGCGAAAGCGUGGGGAGCAAACAGG
rnacentral:rRNA from 1 species